rnacentral:rRNA from 1 species
GAUUCGUCACACUAUCAUUAACUGAAUCCAUAGGUUAAUGAGGCGAACCGGGGGAACUGAAACAUCUAAGUACCCCGAGGAAAAGAAAUCAACCGAGAUUCCCCCAGUAGCGGCGAGCGAACGGGGAGGAGCCCAGAGCCUGAAUCAGCAUGUGUGUUAGUGGAAGCGUCUGGAAAGGCGCGCGAUACAGGGUGACAGCCCCGUACACAAAAGCGCAUGUGCUGUGAGCUCGAUGAGUAGGGCGGGACACGUGGUAUCCUGUCUGAAUAUGGGGGGACCAUCCUCCAAGGCUAAAUACUCCUGACUGACCGAUAGUGAACCAGUACCGUGAGGGAAAGGCGAAAAGAACCCCGGCGAGGGGAGUGAAAAAGAACCUGAAACCGUGUACGUACAAGCAGUGGGAGCACCCUUCGGGGUGUGACUGCGUACCUUUUGUAUAAUGGGUCAGCGACUUAUAUUCUGUAGCAAGGUUAACCGUAUAGGGGAGCCGGAGGGAAACCGAGUCUUAACCGGGCGUUAAGUUGCAGGGUAUAGACCCGAAACCCGGUGAUCUAGCCAUGGGCAGGUUGAAGGUUGGGUAACACUAACUGGAGGACCGAACCGACUAAUGUUGAAAAAUUAGCGGAUGACCUGUGGCUGGGGGUGAAAGGCCAAUCAAACCGGGAGAUAGCUGGUUCUCCCCGAAAGCUAUUUAGGUAGCGCCUCGUGAAUUCAUCUCCGGGGGUAGAGCACUGUUUCGGCUAGGGGGCCAUCCCGGCUUACCAACCCGAUGCAAACUGCGAAUACCGGAGAAUGUUAUCACGGGAGACACACGGCGGGUGCUAACGUCCGUCGUGAAGAGGGAAACAACCCAGACCGCCAGCUAAGGUCCCAAAGUCAUGGUUAAGUGGGAAACGAUGUGGGAAGGCCCAGACAGCCAGGAUGUUGGCUUAGAAGCAGCCAUCAUUUAAAGAAAGCGUAAUAGCUCACUGGUCGAGUCGGCCUGCGCGGAAGAUGUAACGGGGCUAAACCAUGCACCGAAGCUGCGGCAGCGAACGUAUCACCCAAGACAACUUUACGGAGUUGACGAUUGACGGAGCGAAGCGACGUCAAAGCGUUCAUUAAAGUCGAGUUGGCUUAGGGAUACGUUCGUUGGGUAGGGGAGCGUUCUGUAAGCCUGUGAAGGUGUGUCGUGAGGCAUGCUGGAGGUAUCAGAAGUGCGAAUGCUGACAUAAGUAACGAUAAAGCGGGUGAAAAGCCCGCUCGCCGGAAGACCAAGGGUUCCUGUCCAACGUUAAUCGGGGCAGGGUGAGUCGACCCCUAAGGCGAGGCCGAAAGGCGUAGUCGAUGGGAAACGGGUUAAUAUUCCCGUACUUGGUGUUACUGCGAAGGGGGGACGGAGAAGGCUAUGUUGGCCGGGCGACGGUUGUCCCGGUUUAAGCGUGUAGGUGUGUGUUCCAGGUAAAUCCGGUUCACUUUAACACUGAGGCGUGACGACGAGGCACUACGGUGCUGAAGCAACAAAUGCCCUGCUUCCAGGAAAAGCCUCUAAGCAUCAGGUAACAUCAAAUCGUACCCCAAACCGACACAGGUGGUCAGGUAGAGAAUACCAAGGCGCUUGAGAGAACUCGGGUGAAGGAACUAGGCAAAAUGGUGCCGUAACUUCGGGAGAAGGCACGCUGACACGUAGGUGAAGUGAUUUACUCAUGGAGCUGAAGUCAGUCGAAGAUACCAGCUGGCUGCAACUGUUUAUUAAAAACACAGCACUGUGCAAACACGAAAGUGGACGUAUACGGUGUGACGCCUGCCCGGUGCCGGAAGGUUAAUUGAUGGGGUCAGCGCAAGCGAAGCUCCUGAUCGAAGCCCCGGUAAACGGCGGCCGUAACUAUAACGGUCCUAAGGUAGCGAAAUUCCUUGUCGGGUAAGUUCCGACCUGCACGAAUGGCGUAAUGAUGGCCAGGCUGUCUCCACCCGAGACUCAGUGAAAUUGAACUCGCUGUGAAGAUGCAGUGUACCCGCGGCAAGACGGAAAGACCCCGUGAACCUUUACUAUAGCUUGACACUGAACAUUGAGCCUUGAUGUGUAGGAUAGGUGGGAGGCUUUGAAGUGUGGACGCCAGUCUGCAUGGAGCCGACCUUGAAAUACCACCCUUUAAUGUUUGAUGUUCUAACGUGGACCCGUAAUCCGGGUUGCGGACAGUGUCUGGUGGGUAGUUUGACUGGGGCGGUCUCCUCCUAAAGAGUAACGGAGGAGCACGAAGGUUGGCUAAUCCUGGUCGGACAUCAGGAGGUUAGUGCAAUGGCAUAAGCCAGCUUGACUGCGAGCGUGACGGCGCGAGCAGGUGCGAAAGCAGGUCAUAGUGAUCCGGUGGUUCUGAAUGGAAGGGCCAUCGCUCAACGGAUAAAAGGUACUCCGGGGAUAACAGGCUGAUACCGCCCAAGAGUUCAUAUCGACGGCGGUGUUUGGCACCUCGAUGUCGGCUCAUCACAUCCUGGGGCUGAAGUAGGUCCCAAGGGUAUGGCUGUUCGCCAUUUAAAGUGGUACGCGAGCUGGGUUUAGAACGUCGUGAGACAGUUCGGUCCCUAUCUGCCGUGGGCGCUGGAGAACUGAGGGGGGCUGCUCCUAGUACGAGAGGACCGGAGUGGACGCAUCACUGGUGUUCGGGUUGUCAUGCCAAUGGCACUGCCCGGUAGCUAAAUGCGGAAGAGAUAAGUGCUGAAAGCAUCUAAGCACGAAACUUGCCCCGAGAUGAGUUCUCCCUGAGACUUAG